CCUAACACAUGCAAGUCGAACGGUAACAGGAAGCAGCUUGCUGCUUUGCUGACGAGUGGCGGACGGGUGAGUAAUGUCUGGGAAACUGCCUGAUGGAGGGGGAUAACUACUGGAAACGGUGGCUAAUACCGCAUAACGUCGCAAGACCAAAGAGGGGGACCUUCGGGCCUCUUGCCAUCAGAUGUGCCCAGAUGGGAUUAGCUUGUUGGUGAGGUAACGGCUCACCAAGGCGACGAUCCCUAGCUGGUCUGAGAGGAUGACCAGCCACACUGGAACUGAGACACGGUCCAGACUCCUACGGGAGGCAGCAGUGGGGAAUAUUGCACAAUGGGCGCAAGCCUGAUGCAGCCAUGCCGCGUGUAUGAAGAAGGCCUUCGGGUUGUAAAGUACUUUCAGCGGGGAGG
rnacentral:rRNA from 3 species